CAAAUGGAAACACAAGAUAAUUAAUGACAAGACGCAGGACACUUAAACUGGUCCCCUGUUGUGUUCACUUAUCGCUACACUGACGGUGCGAAGCUACAUUGUAUAGAUGGAACGGCGGACCAGUUUAUAUGACACUGAUCUGUAAUUUUGUAUAAUAUGAUCACUUGGUAUUUCUCUCUAUGUACGUGCAACGAAGAUGACAGACAGUGGACAUCAAAAGGAGGAAAGACAGGUUAAACAUAGACGGGAUAGUUUUCCAGUUUCGUUUAUGAAACAUUCAUCACAGUUCAAGAAAUUGGAGGUCACCAGACUCUUCUAUCAAAAGGAUUUUUUUUUUAAAGAAACACAAAAGUUUAGAAGGCAGACAAAAUGGCAGAAGUUACUACAACCACAGAGAACAUUAGUGAAGGAUACAUUUUGAGGGAAAUCUUUAGAGAUAGCUUUGGUUGAACGGAAUAAUGGAAACAUGUAUUUGGGAAUAUUACAUUUACAAAGAUGAUUGUUCGAAAAGUUCAGAAGAGUUUGAAGAUGAAUAAUUCCAACUACAGAUCUGCAUGUCACUAAAAGAUCAGAUUACUAAACGAUUAGUAUCAGAUGCAUUAUAACGAAGCUUCAAGUUGUCUCUCAGUUUGUCUGUAAUAAAUAAGACCGUUGGAAUUUUCUUAUAAAUUCUUUUAAUUUUGUAUCAUGUAAUACUUUUAAGAUUAUUCAUAUAUAGAACAAAAUUCAUAUUGAAUGUAGAAUACAUUUAUUCUGUGUCUCAGCCUCACCAUACAGAUAACUUUACUUCAAAAUAAAUUUAUUUUAUAUUUUAUUAUAAUCCGAAAUCGCAUUCAAAUAGAAUUAAUUUAUUCUGUGUCACAGC